rnacentral:lncRNA from 1 species
AGAGGCGGGGAACAAUAUGGCGGAUGGCGAGGAGCCGGAGAAGAAAAGAAGGAGAAUAGAGGAGCUGCUGGCUGAGAAGUUAGUGCUGCUGGGAGGCCGGGGUCCUCUCCGGAGACCCCCGCCUCCCCCUAAUCCCAGGCCUAGGGGACCAGCCGCAGCGGGCCCGAGGGUGCUGGGAGGGGGUCACCUGGAGCAGGCCGCGCGUCCUCACCCCUGACCCCGUCCCCAGCUCGAGCCACCGGCCGGCUGCUCCCUGGCUAUGCUCCUGCAAAAGCCACCCGGUACUCCCCUCUUCCUCCAACCCAAAUUGUCAGAGCUGUGACCUUGUGGCAAGUGAAUCCAAUCUAAAUCUAAAUGGACACGAGGCCUGUUUUGGGUCCUUGAUGAACACUGAGACAAUAGUACACAUAAACUUUUUAUGAACACUCCGUGAAUCAGGAAUUGUGUUAAAACUUGUCAUUUUUGCAAGGUAAUUGGGUCUUAAAGGACACGGCAACUCACUUGCUCUCUCAUUUACCACACAACCUGUAUUAAAUACUUAGUUUUUUUUGAUGCCGCAGACUUUAAAAUUCUUUUCAUAUGGCCAAUCCUACGUGAUUCCUCUCCCCGCCCUCCGUGGGAAGGGGGAAAAAAUACUCGUGUAUUGGGUGUGGUGAUUCAUAAUUUCUGUGUCAGCUCUCAGUAGUACUUUGGUCUUUUCCAUGCCCCUCCCUAUGGGUGAAUUUCAAAUGCAAGGGCUCACCCUUUCUCACCGCUUAAUUCCCAACUCAGCACGAAAUAACAAAGUUUGAGCGCUUGCUGUCUGCCAAGAGCAGCCCCUAAGUUCAAUACCUGAUGAUCUCUUUACCUCAUGACCAUCAGAAGUAGUUGCAGUCUACAGCUGAAGUUUCUGACAGUUAAGGAAUCUUCUCAAAGCUAGAGUGUGCUUGGUUAUGGCGUGAGACCCAGCAUUGCAUCAGAACAUCAGCUAUGCAAUGUAUGUUAGUCCCUUUUGUAAACAAUUGAAAUCACUAAUAUAUUUGAAGGUAGAAACUUUGGGGUUACAGGAAAGUUAUCACAACCAAACAUGAAUGAAUCUGUGGUUAUAAAGUGCAUUUGAGUGUUUUGUUUUGUUUUUUAGAGAAGUCCCACUUUAUUAGUUGCAUGUUCUCAAAGAUUUCUUGAUGGUAAAUAAAUGCCUAUCUGUGGCAUAAUUGUAAUCUAAACAUUUUUCUUGUGUGUGUGUUUUGUGACAACAAAUGGACCUUAGUAUUAGGAGAGGUUUGUUUGUUUUUUAUUUUUAGUUUUUAAAGG